rnacentral:misc_RNA from 1 species
UCCGGCUUAUCACCGGCGGUUUCUUUAGAGUGCCCAACUAAAUGAUGGCAACUAAAGACGAGGGUUGCGCUCGUUGCGGGACUUAACCCAACAUCUCACGGCACGAGCUGACGACAGCCAUGCAGCAUCUGUGCACAGGCCCCGAAGGGCUGCCGGGUUUCCCCGACAUUCCUGUGUAUGUCAAGCCUUGGUAAGGUUCUGCGCGUUGCGUCGAAUUAAACCACACGCUCCGCCGCUUGUGCGGGGACCCGUCAAUUCCUUUGAGUUUUAAUCUUGCGAUCGUACUCCCCAGGCGGGGUGCUUAAUGCGUUAGCUGCGCCACCGACAAGCAAGCUUGCCAACGGCUAGCACCCAUCGUUUACGGCGUGGACUAC